AUGCUCGCUUCUGCAGCACAUAUACUAAAAUUGGAAUGAUACACAGAAGAUUAGCAUGGCCCCUGGCCAAGGAAGAUAUGCAAAUUCAUGAAGGGGUCUAUAUUCUU